UCAUUAACGAGUUUUGAAUGAAGUUGUUCUGGUCUUUCGGGGCAAGUGAACACUUCUCUCAAUCCAUCUUACACCUGUGCAUCUAUCGGGGGAAGACUUGGGAUUUUAAGUUGGAUAACGACGGUGAUCCUAUAGUCUCUCCUCUUUACCAACAAAUAACAGUCUUAGAAAGUCAUUUUUUGCUUGAUGCAAACUUAAAUACAACUUUCAGCAACGGAUCUCUUGGCUCUCGCAUCGAUGAAGAACGCAGCGAAAUGCGAUAAGUAAUGUGAAUUGCAGAAUUCAGUGAAUCAUCGAAUCUUUGAACGCACCUUGCACUCCUUGGUAUUCCGAGGAGUAUGCCUGUUUGAGUGUCAUGAAAUUAUCAACCUCAAUAGUUUUGAUUACUUUGAGGCUUGGAUUUGGAAGUUGCUGGCCUUAAAAAUGUCGGCUCUUCUUAAAUAUAUUAGCUGCUUGUCCGUGAGUUGGCUCAGAGUGUGAUAAGUAUCUACACUCGGUGGCUGCUUGCAUUGGAUGUGGCUUCUAAUAGUCUUCGGACAAUUUUUUUAAGAUCUGACCUCAAAUCAGGUAGGACUACCCGCUGAACUUAAGCAUAUCAAUAAGCGGAGGAAAAGAAACUAACAAGGAUUCCCCUAGUAACGGCGAGUGAAGCGGGAAAAGCUCAAAUUUAAAAUCUGGCUGUCUUAGAUAGUCCGA
rnacentral:rRNA from 1 species